GUCCUGAGUUCAAUUCCCAAUAACCACAUGGUAGCUCACAAACAACAAUCUGUAAUGAGAUUUGAUGCCCUUUUCUGGUGUGUCUGAAGACAGCUACAAUGUACUUACAUAAAAUAAAUAAGUCUUUUUUUAAAAGAAAGGAAAAGAAAAGAUGAGAUUCUGUUUUAUCAAGCUAGUUAGUCAGUACUCCUUCAAAGGCUUGGUCAGGCAUUCAGCAGCAGCACCUGUUAAUUGAUUAAGAACGAAAGUGUUCUGGUUAAUUGACCGCAGACCUUUUGACUGUCUGGGACCUCAGCAGUCUGACCUUCCUGGUAAACUGCUUUACAUUAUACAGCCGUUCCAAUCAGACAAAUUGGCCCAGAAUAUAUUUUUUUGAUAAUCAGUCUAAGAAAUCUGAAGUAACAAGUCAUACUUAAAAGGUUUUUUGGCUAAUAGUAAUUAAUGAUUAUUGAGUCAUUCUAGGCGCCAGCCUCUUUGCUAAGUCUGGAGGCUUUAUCUGAAUUCUAUAAAGGUUAUAACACUGGAUUGAAUGUGUUCAUUAUCACACAUUAUCAAAACCAAAAUUUUAAUUACUGCAACUAAUUGUAAGGCUGGCUAUAUUUUUGAUAGGUAGGAAUAAAGUGUCUACUUAAAUUUCUUUUUAAUACAGCUUGAUAAACUUCUUGAUGUUGACUUUUCAAAGUGCAAAACAAAGUUUUAUUCUGUUUUAUGUUGAAUAUCUUAAUUUAAAUGAUGGUUUUUAAGAUACUAUAUUUAACUUUUAUAUAUAAGACUUAAUUUACAUAUAAUAAUUAUACAUAUGUCUUGUACAGUGUGACAUGUAUGUAUGUAUGUAUGUAUGUAUGUAUCUGUGCCUGUCCAUACACAUGCAUACAUAUAAAAUAUGCAAUGACCAGAUCAGGCUGAGUAUACUACUCAGGUAGACGCUAGGGUUUUUGUUUUAUUUUCAUAAAACAUCCAUUUUAAAGUGGAAUACAUAAAGCAUUCUGUGAUAUGCCAGACCUUAAGAACAUUGGAUAAAUAAAAAUUUAAAAUUAAAUAUUUACUUAUGAUACAGAGACAUUCUUAAUAAUUAUCAGCUUUUACAUAAAAAUUUAGUAAAAUAUUUCUCAGUAAUUAUCCCAUAAAUGAAGUGCUUGGAUGAUGCAGCAGGUGCUCGAGAAGUGCGUGGCAUUUUAUACUUCACCUUGGUCGUCGUCCUCCUUCCUUUGCUCGUAGUUCUUUUCUUAGUAAGACUGAUGAAGUACAUUUCUCUUCUGCCAGUGCUGCUUUGGCUGUUUAAAUUGACAUCCUUCUUUAAAUAUGAUUUUCACAUAAUACUUUAUAUUAAAGU
rnacentral:lncRNA from 1 species